rnacentral:rRNA from 1 species
AGGCAGCAGUGGGGAAUAUUGCACAAUGGGCGCAAGCCUGAUGCAGCCAUGCCGCGUGUAUGAAGAAGGCCUUCGGGUUGUAAAGUACUUUCAGCAGUGAGGAAGGUGGAUAUGUUAAUAGCAUAUUCAUUUGACGUUAGCUGCAGAAGAAGCACCGGCUAACUCCGUGCCAGCAGCCGCGGUAAUACGGAGGGUGCGAGCGUUAAUCGGAAUUACUGGGCGUAAAGCGCAUGCAGGUGGUUUGUUAAGUCAGAUGUGAAAGCCCGGGGCUCAACCUCGGAAUUGCAUUUGAAACUGGCAAACUAGAGUACUGUAGAGGGGGUAGAAUUUCAGGUGUAGCGGUGAAAUGCGUAGAGAUCUGAAGGAAUACCGGUGGCGAAGGCGGCCCCCUGGACAGAUACUGACACUCAGAUGCGAAAGCGUGGGGAGCAAACAGGAUUAGAUACCCUUGUAG